UACAGAGGGUGCGAGCGUUAAUCGGAAUUACUGGGCGUAAAGCGUGCGUAGACGGUUGCGUAAGUCAGAUGUGAAAGCCCCGGGCUCAACCUGGGAAUUGCAUUUGAGACUGCGUAGCUAGGGUGCGGAAGAGGGAAGCGGAAUUUCCGGUGUAGCGGUGAAAUUCGUAGAUAUUCGCAAGAACACCAGUGGCGAAGGCGGCUCACUGGCCCGGUACUGACGCUGAGGCACGAAAGCGUGGGGAGCAAACAGG
rnacentral:rRNA from 1 species